UAGCAAUACCGAAGAAAGUCUAGUGGCGAACGGGUGCGUAACACGUGGGCAAUCUGCCUUAAAGUGGGGGAUAGCUCGGCGAAAGCCGGAUUAAUACCGCAUGUGAUUACCGGAGACAUCUUCGGAACAUCAAAGUCGGGGCAACCUGACGCUUUUUGAGGAGCCCGCGGCCUAUCAGCUAGUUGGUGAGGUAACGGCUCACCAAGGCUUUGACGGGUAGCUGGUCUGAGAGGACGACCAGUCACACUGGAACUGAGACACGGUCCAGACACCUACGGGUGGCAGCAGUCGAGAAUUUUUCUCAAUGGGGGAAACCCUGAAGGAGCGACGCCGCGUGGAGGAUGAAGGUCUUCGGGUUGUAAACUCCUGUCAUUUGGGAACAAUGCUUACGUAUUAACUGUACGUGAGUUGAUAGUACCAGAAGAGGAAGAGACGGCUAACUCUGUGCCAGCAGCCGCGGUAAUACAGAGGUCUCAAGCGUUGUUCGGAUUCAUUGGGCGUAAAGGGUGUGUAGGUGGCGCGCUAAGUCGGGUGUGAAAUUUCGGAGCUUAACUCCGAGACUGCAUUCGAUACUGGCGUGCUUGAGGACUGGAGAGGAGACUGGAAUUCACGGUGUAGCA
rnacentral:rRNA from 1 species